CAGGAACCAAAUGCACACAGCUGAGAGAGACAGGCAACAGAGGCCAGGCUAAAUCUCUUGGAGCAGAUUUAAAACAUCUGGAACGAGGCUCUGACAGCCAGAGGAAAGAGAAAAACGUCCCGGGACGGUUGAUGCUCCAGCGCAGAGAAACCUGAGAGAAAAAGGGAUGAUGGGUGUGAGAAAACAGGGAGAGAGUUGGAUUACCGGUUCCUGUGGCUGCUUACCUGUUAAACCACCUCGUCUCCUCUCUACCUCGGCAUACCGCUGACUUCAGUUUCCAGCCCUGUCGUGGACCCACCCCAAGCAUCUCCAUCUUUGGUGUAUAAGUUUUUAGUCUUUUGGACUUUGAAAGAAAGUGUAGAGUUCUCCCCUUGUCUUCCCAGUAAUUGAUCGGAGUUUGAAUUACAGAAGAAAUUUCAGUGAGCCUUGUUGGCUUUGAAUCUUGUAGUUUGGUUAAAGUAAAGAAUUUGAGAUUGUAGUGACCGUUAUAGAACCUGAGUGACUUACAGCAUUUUCUCUGAGUAUUGAGUAAUUGAAGUUAAUGAGAGCCCAACAUUCGACGGCGUUUUCAGUUCAUCGAAUUUUCUUUCGUCAGCCACCAGUAGGUUUAGACAUUUACAGCCAGAGCUGUCGCUUUCAGUUUUUUCCUUAACCCUUUGUUUGUGUGUAGUAAUUCCGUUUCUUUAGAAUAAAAGCUUGUGUUGCA